rnacentral:rRNA from 1 species
AGAUUGAACGCUAGCGGGAUGCUUUACACAUGCAAGUCGAACGGCAGCGCGGACUUCGGUCUGGCGGCGAGUGGCGAACGGGUGAGUAAUAUAUCGGAACGUGCCCAGUAGCGGGGGAUAACUACGCGAAAGCGUGGCUAAUACCGCAUACGCCCUACGGGGGAAAGGGGGGGAUUCUUCGGAACCUCUCACUAUUGGAGCGGCCGAUAUCAGAUUAGCUAGUUGGUGAGGUAAAGGCUCACCAAGGCGACGAUCUGUAGCUGGUUUGAGAGGACGACCAGCCACACUGGGACUGAGACACGGCCCAGACUCCUACGGGAGCAGCAGUGGGAAUAGUUGGACAAUGGGGGAAACCCUGAUCCAG